rnacentral:rRNA from 1 species
AUGGUAGAGCCCAUGGCAGCAAGAGCAAUGCGGCCCUUCCCAUGCUGCCUCAUCUCACUGCUGCUGCUGCUGCUGCUGCUGCUGCCGCCGCUGCCGCUGUCGCGAGCUGCCACCGGCGAUUUCAGCCACUGCGGUGGCUGCGACGACGCCGACGAGGGCAGCCUCUGGAGCACGGACAACAUCCUGCAGUGCCAGAAAGUCAGCGACUUCCUCAUCGCCACCGCCUACUUCUCCAUCCCGCUCGAGCUGCUCUACUUCACCACCUGCUCCGACCUCUUCCCCCUCAAGUGGAUCGUCCUGCAGUUCGGCGCCUUCAUCGUCCUCUGCGGCCUCACCCACCUCAUCAACGUCUUCACCUACGAGCCCCACUCCUUCCACCUCGUCCUCGCCCUCACCGUCGCCAAGUUCCUCACCGCCCUCGUCUCCUUCGCCACCGCCAUCACGCUGCUCACCCUCAUACCGCAGCUGCUCAGGGUCAAGGUCAGGGAGAACUUCCUCAGGAUCAAGGCAAGGGAGCUGGACCAGGAGGUGGGCAAGAUGAAGAGGCAGGAGGAGGCCAGCUGGCACGUGCGUAUGCUCACCCAGGAGAUCCGCAAGUCCCUCGACAGGCACACUAUCCUCUACAUAACCAUGGUCGAGCUCUCCAAGACCCUGCACCUGCAGAACUGCGCCGUCUGGAUGCCCAACGAGGCCAGGACCCACAUGAUCCUCACGCAUCAUCUCAGAGAAAGGGAGAUAACUGAGUCGCACAGCGGCUCCAUUCCUAUCUCUGACCCGGACGUGGUUGAAAUAAAGGCGACGAGGGGCGCCAAGGUCCUCGGGGAAGGGUCGGCGCUAGGGACUGCCAGCAGGUGCAAUCCUGAGGCAGGGGCUGCGGUCGCUGCGAUACGGAUGCCGAUGCUAAGGGUGUCCAAUUUCAAAGGAGGCACCCCGGAAAUGAUGGAAACGAGCUAUGCUAUUCUGGUCUUGGUCUUACCCGAGGACGGUUCCCUAGGGUGGGGUGAGCAGGAGCUGGAGAUUGUCGAAGUGAUCGCCGAUCAAGUGGCGGUCGCGCUCUCGCAUGCUGCUGUUCUUGAGGAGUCGCAGCUGAUGCGAGAGAAGCUUGCUCAGCAGCACAGGGACUUGCUUCAGGCAAAGCAUGAGGCUGUGAUGGCAACUGAAGCCAGGAAUUCCUUUCAGAGUGCCAUGUAUGACGGGAUGCGCAGACCGAUGCACUCGGUCCUUGGUCUCGUCUCGAUGAUGCAGCAGGAAAGCAUGAAUCCAGAGCAAAGGCUCGUGAUGGACGCCAUCGUCAAGACAACCAGUGUUGCCUCGACGUUGAUGAAUGAUGUCAUGCAAACAUCGACGAUGGACCGUGAGCACUUAUCUCUGGUGAGGAGGCCCUUCAGCCUCCACUCCUUGAUUAAGGAAGCGGUCAGCGUUGUAAGGUGUCUGUGUGGCUCCAAGGGGGUUGAUUUCGAGUUUCAAGUGGAGAAUUCUUUGCCCGAAAGGGUCGUUGGCGACGAGAAGAGGGUUUUCCAUAUUGUCUUGCACAUGGUAGGCACUCUGAUAAAUCAAUGCCGUGCGGGCUGCCUCUCUUUGUAUGUGAAUAGUUACAACGAGAUGGAUGAGAGGCAUAAUAAUCAGGACUGGAUGCUGCUGCGAAGAGCAAACUUUUCUGCCGGAUAUGUGUGUGUCAAGUUUGAGAUUAGGAUUAAAAAAUCCAGAAACAGCCUUUUGGAUGCGUCUGCCAGCCAAAUAAGUCAAGAGCCGAACGCUAGCAGUUCGGAGAUGGGCCUUAGCUUCAACAUGUGCAAGAAGAUUGUGCAGAUGAUGAAUGGUAAUAUCUGGUCCGUAUCAGACCCAGAAGGGUUGAGAGAGACGGUCAUGCUGGCUCUCCAGUUCCAGAUGCAACAUGUGACCCCUGUCUCAGGAGCAUCCUCGGACCUAUACCGGUUAUCACCGAUCCCCAACUUCAACGGGCUCCAUGUCCUCCUGGUGGACGGUGAUGACACCAACCGAGCAGUCACCCACAAGCUCCUGGAAAAGCUUGGGUGCCGAGUCUUUUCGGUCAGCUCGGGCAUCCAGUGCAUGACCUCCUUUGCGGGCGGCGAGUCGUCCUUCCAGCUGGUGCUUCUGGACCUGACGAUGCACACGAUGGACGGGUUCGAGGUGGCCCUCGCGAUCCGCAAGUUCAGGAGCAACAGCUGGCCGCCACUGAUCGUGGCCCUCGCGGCGAGCUCGGACGACAACGUCCGGGACCGGUGCCAGCGGUCAGGGAUAAACGGUCUGCUCCAGAAGCCCGUCACGUUGGCGGCCCUGGGGGAUGAAGUGUAUAGAGUCCUUCAGCACAACUGA